GUGCCAGCCGCCGCGGUAAUACGGAGGGUGCAAACGUUGCUCGGAAUCAUUGGGCGUAAAGCGAACGUAGGCGGCAUUGCAAGUCGGGUGUGAAAGCCCUCGGCUCAACCGAGGAAGUGCAUUCGAAACUGCAACGCUUGAGUGUCGGAGAGGAUAGCGGAAUUCCCGGUGUAGAGGUGAAAUUCGUAGAUAUCGGGAGGAACACCAGUGGCGAAGGCGGCUAUCUGGACGAACACUGACGCUGAAGUUCGAAAGCGUGGGGAGCAAACAGGAUUAGAUACCCCCGUAGUCC
rnacentral:rRNA from 1 species